GAUGAACGCUGACAGAAUGCUUAACACAUGCCAGUCUUUGGCGAAGCUGUGCUUGCACCGCCUAGCCAAGGCGGACGGGUGGGUAACGCGUAAGGAACUUGCCCGGCAGUCAGGGAUAACAGACGGAAACGACUGAUAAGACCUGGUAAAGUCAGACGGACUCAUGUCCAGCCUGAUGAAAAGAGAUGCUGCAGGAGAGCCUUGCGUCCUAUUAGCUUGUUGGUGGGGUAACGGCCCACCAAGGCGAUGAUAGGUAGCCGGCCUGAGAGGGUGGACGGCCACAAGGGGACUGAGAUACGGCCCUUACUCCUACGGGAGGAAGCAGUGGGGAAUAUUGGACCAUGGGGGCAACCCUGAUCCAGCAAUUCUGUGUGCACGAUGAAGGUUUUCGGAAUGUAAAGUGCUUUCAGCAGGGAAGAAAAAAAUGACGGUACCUGCAGAAGAAGCGACGGCUAAAUACGUG
rnacentral:rRNA from 1 species